GAGAGAAAUUUUUCAGGCUCGUUCCACGGCGUCAUCGUCACAUCGUUCACAAACAAAUUUGUUCCUGAAUCWAGUGGAACUUGCCGUUCCGCUCCAAAUUUUCUCACCUUUGAUUUGUCGUUAGCCCAACUAUGAGGGCUAAGUGGCGUAAGAAGCGUAUGCGUAGGUUGAAGCGCAAGAGGAGGAAGAUGCGUGCAAGGUCCAAAUAAACCUCGUGGCCUGCUCCAGACAUAUUGUCAUGUUUUGGUAAACAUUUAACGAUAUUGUAACUUUUAUAUUGAAUCAUCUAAACAGUAAUAAACACUCUAUUUACCGUAUCAA